CAGGAAUCUCCAGGCUGGGUGGGAGUAAGUCUUAAAGAUCAACAAAUCAAUCAUUUGAAUGCUCUGAAAUUGUCUAAAACCUUCCUAUGAAGCCUCAGGCAAACAGCAGCUCUGGAAAGAAAGAAAUCUAAAGGGAGAGAUGAGAGACAGUACAUAUCAACCAAGAGUGAAGAGGCUGAGGCAGCUAAAAUGCCUGCCCCUGCUGCACAGUCCAGCAACUACACUGUGUGCCAUGGGCAUACUGAAUAAAGAAUCAGUGUGAUGGAAGACAAAGGGCUGAAGAACCAGUCAAAAGAAAAAAUGAGAGGCAACUGUGAUAGAGCGAAAAGGAGGUUUUAAUCAGAAGUUUUAAGUCACAAAUCCAGAUUUCUCUAUGUCAUGGGGCAAGUUACUUUAACUCUGGCUUGAUUUCAUCGCCUUGUCCUCCUGAGCCAGAGAGAGGAGCUGUCCAAAUUAUAGAUAUGAAGGCUAAAAAGUACUUACAACCUAGGUCUACCAUUCCUGCAAUGCUAUUUGUGACAAGCUGGCAUUCUGGAAAUGCCUCUUUCAACAAUAAGAAAGACAUUAUCCACAGAUUCAAACCUUCUCUCAAAGCCUACUUUGUUUCCCGUGUGUGCUGAGCAAUGUUGGGCAAGCAAGUCUAGGCCCACCUACUGUUUGCUUCACCUCUAGCCCAUCUCCAUGCCUGAUUACCCCUAUAAUAAAUCAUUUUCCUCCAACAUAAAGCUCC